rnacentral:rRNA from 1 species
UUUACUCGUCAGAUGACGCUGGCGGCGUGCCUAAUACAUGCAAGUCGAACGAACUUCCGUUAAUUGAUUAUGACGUACUUGUACUGAUUGAGAUUUUAACACGAAGUGAGUGGCGAACGGGUGAGUAACACGUGGGUAACCUGCCCAGAAGUAGGGGAUAACACCUGGAAACAGAUGCUAAUACCGUAUAACAGAGAAAACCGCAUGGUUUUCUUUUAAAAGAUGGCUCUGCUAUCACUUCUGGAUGGACCCGCGGCGUAUUAGCUAGUUGGUGAGGUAAAGGCUCACCAAGGCAGUGAUACGUAGCCGACCUGAGAGGGUAAUCGGCCACAUUGGGACUGAGACACGGCCCAGACUCCUACGGGAGGCAGCAGUAGGGAAUCUUCCACAAUGGACGCAAGUCUGAUGGAGCAACGCCGCGUGAGUGAAGAAGGGUUUCGGCUCGUAAAGCUCUGUUGUUAAAGAAGAACGUGGGUAAGAGUAACUGUUUACCCAGUGACGGUAUUUAACCAGAAAGCCACGGCUAACUACGUGCCAGCAGCCGCGGUAAUACGUAGGUGGCAAGCGUUAUCCGGAUUUAUUGGGCGUAAAGCGAGCGCAGGCGGUCUUUUAAGUCUAAUGUGAAAGCCUUCGGCUCAACCGAAGAAGUGCAUUGGAAACUGGGAGACUUGAGUGCAGAAGAGGACAGUGGAACUCCAUGUGUAGCGGUGAAAUGCGUAGAUAUAUGGAAGAACACCAGUGGCGAAGGCGGCUGUCUGGUCUGCAACUGACGCUGAGGCUCGAAAGCAUGGGUAGCGAACAGGAUUAGAUACCCUGGUAGUCCAUGCCGUAAACGAUGAUUACUAAGUGUUGGAGGGUUUCCGCCCUUCAGUGCUGCAGCUAACGCAUUAAGUAAUCC